rnacentral:rRNA from 1 species
UACAGAGGUCUCAAGCGUUGUUCGGAUUCAUUGGGCGUAAAGGGUGCGUAGGCGGCGCGGUAAGUCGGGUGUGAAAUCUCGGGGCUUAACUCCGAAACUGCAUUCGAUACUGCCGUGCUUGAGGACUGGAGAGGAGACUGGAAUUUACGGUGUAGCGGUGAAAUGCGCAGAUAUCAGGAGGAACACCAGCGGCGAAGGCGGCGCUCUGGGCUGGAACUGACGCUGAGGAGCGAAAGCGUGGGGAGCGAACAGG